ACUUUAGGCGACUGACGGAGACAC
rnacentral:rRNA from 1 species